rnacentral:rRNA from 1 species
AUUGAACGCUGGCGGCAGGCCUAACACAUGCAAGUCGAGCGGCAGCGGGACAGUAGCUUGCUACUUUUGCCGGCGAGCGGCGGACGGGUGAGUAAUGCCUGGGAAAUUGCCCAGUCGAGGGGGAUAACAGUUGGAAACGACUGCUAAUACCGCAUAAGCACUACGGGGGAAAGCAGGGGACCUUCGGGCCCGGCUCGCUUGGAUAUGCCCGGGUGGGAUUAGCUAGUUGGUGAGGUAAUGGCGCACCAAGGCGACGAUCCCUAGCUGGUCUGAGAGGAUGAUCAGCCACACUGGAACUGAGACACGGUCCAGACUCCUACGGGAGGCAGCAGUGGGGAAUAUUGCACAAUGGGGGAAACCCUGAUGCAGCCAUGCCGCGUGUGUGAAGAAGGCCUUCGGGUUGUAAAGCACUUUCAGCAAGGAGGAAAGGUUGAUGCCUAAUACGUAUCAACUGUGACGUUACUCGCAGAAGAAGCACCGGCUAACUCCGUGCCAGCCGCCGCAGUAAAAC